UCGCUUCAUCCUUGCAUUACGGUGGAGUGGGCGGAGCCUCGUGAAUGACGGUUAUUUUUUUCAAACGAGGAAGUCAAGUCAAGUCCGCCAUUUCAUCUUCUUUAUAUCGGAAAAGAAAGGAAUCAUGCAAGGAUGCAAGCUGAAGGAAAGGACAACUCUCACAUCAGUGCAUUACUAAUUGUUUGACUUCAUCAUCAAGCACACCAGCUCAGAUUGUGAUGGACCUGGAAUGCGACACCAGUUACUCUUAAGUCAAGAACCAAAUGAAGCACCAGAGUACAGAUUAUAGAGGUAUCUGAAGUUGAACUAACUGGAAGCAGGGAACCAUACUAAUAAA